UACAGAGGGUGCAAGCGUUUGUUCGGAAUUACUGGGCGUAAAGCGCGUGUAGGCGGCGACGUAAGUCGGAUGUGAAAGCCCUCGGCUUAACCGAGGAAGUGCACUCGAUACUGUGUCGCUAGAGUACCGGAGGGGAUGGCGGAAUUCCCGGUGUAGAGGUGAAAUUCGUAGAUAUCGGGAGGAACACCUGUGGCGAAGGCGGCCAUCUGGACGGUGACUGACGCUGAGACGCGAAAGCGUGGGUAGCAAACAGG
rnacentral:rRNA from 1 species